AAACCGUAUGCAUGUCAGCUCCCAGGGUGCACCAAACGUUACACCGACCCCAGCUCAUUGCGCAAACACGUCAAGGUCCACUCCAGUAAAGCCCUGCAGACACAGGACAAGGUCCAGCUACACAAUAAGGUGGAGCAGGAAGUUGUGGAUGUGUGUCUUGGCUUGCAGCAUCUCCAUGGCUCCGCUCCUUCAGUACAGAGUCCAGACCAUAGGCGUCCUGCCUCCCUCAGUGAGAUUCAUCAGAAGGGUUUUACUGCAUACCCUGAGGAAGAUGAAUCCUGUAGCAGAGCCUUAUCUCUGGAGCAGCCCAGCAGACACUGCAGUAUCAGCCUCCACAACCAUCUGCACAACAACAAGCUCAAUCAGCCGAGGUGAGGAUCAGCAGUCACAAUAUAUGACCAGGAACAUCAUACUACUGUACAGGGCUUUUCACACUGCACUUAACCCCGAGCAGUGCUGGGUAAUUUACUUACAAAUUGUAAUCAGUUACUGAUUACAGAUCACAUGAUAAAAAUGGUAUUUUUGCUAAUGUUUUUAGACUACUUUUUAGAUUACUUUUAGAUUACUUUGUUUUUAUCUAACUUACCAUUCAUACAUUUCAUAAUUAUUUGUUUCAUACAUAUUGUUUUUUCCCC
rnacentral:lncRNA from 12 species